rnacentral:lncRNA from 1 species
CCGAUACCCAAAAUGAGAGGGGGGUGCAGUGCAGGUCAAGCUUCCUGCCCCCCCCCCAAUUCCUUUGACCCUCCCGUGAGGAUGUGCACUAGGUAAGUGGAACUGGGCAGAUGGCUUGCUUUCCCUGUGCCCAAGUUCCCACCUCUGUGGAGUUUGGGAGAUGUUGCCCCGAGGCCUGGGAGGGUCUCCAAAGCCAGAGACAAGUCUCACCGACACUGAGACGGAACAGGAGGUUCUCAGUCACGAGAGGUAAAGACUAAAAAGCCAAAUUUGAAUCCCCUUCAGUUAGUUAGGAAGAGCCCCCAGCAGGGACCCUGCUCACUCAUCCCGUCUCGGUUUGCUCCCUACGUGGAAGGAAACUCCAAGAAGUUUCCUUCUUUCGCCUUCCAGAAGCAGAAUAAAAUGGAGAUGUUGGAAAGACAUCAGGGGCUCCAUCUCAGGGGCCCCCAUCCCUUCCUUGGCUCAGACCCAUUCUCUUUCCCAAAAGGUCCAGUUUUGGAGAGGUUCCCCAAAAUGACAGAAAGCCCCUCUUUUUCCCCCCCAACCCAGCCUCCAGCUUUUCUUCUGUUGUCUUCUGGCCACAAAUAUCUAAAAGAGUCCCCCGUGCGCUUAAGUCUCUCUUCUUCCCCCUCCAGCUCAAUAGGGCAUUUGGUCUGAUCAAAUCAAAUCCCAAGUACGACUCCUAAGCCGCGCCUCCCUCUCCAGUGGCCCAGUCAAUCCUGCUGGGACACUACAACCCACAGCAAGGAUUGAUCAAAACCCCUCCCUUCUCACUCUCCCACCAAGGAAUCGGUGUCAUGGACACCCUCCCUCUACCUGUGGCUGAUUUUUGUUGGUUUAUACAUUUGGGUUUUUUGAGUGUUUCUGUUUUCUGUUUGUUUGGUGGUCUUUGUUUUGCACUGUAAAUACCAUGAUAGGGACCCCUCCUUGGAACAUGGCUUAUUUAAUAAUUUAUUUGCUAUUUAUUGAGCGGUGUUGGGAUUGGGACAGGAGCGAGGCCACCUCUUCCCAAGAAUCCCUCCAACUCUGCGCUCCAGAGACACCGUGGGCCCACGCAGCGCCGUCUCACCCAGGUAAUGAGUUCGAGACUCACCGAAACAAAUUGGAAUUGGCAGCAACAGAGGCUCCGGCCAUAGCAAUUAAGCUCCAAAUGGAACUAAAGCACUGGUUUAUCUCCAGGAAAAACCUCAUUCCGAUGGAAAUUCAUUGAGGAAUCAAAUGCCUUCCCCGGGAACCAACUUCUCUUAAACAGUCACAGCUCCUUGAAAAAUAAAAGUGGAGAGAAUGAAAAAGGUCGCCCCUGGUCUGUAGCCAAGAGAAGCUACUCCGCCUCAUCUUGGAAGGAGCCAAGCCAAAGAGACUGGCGUCGCAUUUCUCUGUGCUUCUCUGGCUCGUGUGUCUGUGUGCAUGGAAGGGAAUGGGCCUCGGGCCUCAGUCUUGUCAUCUGUGAAAUGGGAAUUGGCCUGAGCGAUCCUGGCAGGGUGGGGGAGAGAGGGCUCUGGCUCUGACCCGGAGGACAGCUUCCUGUUGGAAUUUUUGUCCCUGGGUCUUCUGCGGUAGGUUGAACGGCAGCGACCAAGGACGGGAACAGAAAGGUGGGGUGUGGAUUUCAUCUGCUGGGGGAGGUCAUGAUAGCUGAGUUCUGGUGCCAACUAUGGGAGACCGCGAGGUGUCGUCCCCUUGAUAACUCCCGUGACUUGAGUUCAAGUCCUCUGUAUUUACCUUGAACUUCUCUCCAAGCCUAGUGGUCCACAGUCAUCCCAGGAGAGACCAAGAUGGUUUGGCUCUGCCCUGCAUUUUACCCCCGUUGGUGGUCAGACCUUGUUUUGUACAAUCAUUCAAGGAAGCCGGUGACGUAGGUCCGAGUACCACUUUUCAGAUGAGAAAACUGAGGCCUGGGAAGGGGGAGUGUUGUGCCCAAGUCCCUUGAGCUCAGAUGGGGCUGGCGGUGCCCCUCGUCCCCUUGGAAGCUCUUUCUCUGGGGGCGUGUGCUCUGAGGACUUUGUCUUACUUCUGUCCCACCUCUUGGUUUUCCUCCAAGUGUCCAUUGGCCAAGGACCUAGCAGAACCCACCACACUGGCCCAGGGGACUCGGUACACCUGAAGGCCAUUUCUCUACUCUGGGGCUGAGACUCCCACCUGGAAAACACCGAACCAAAGGAGCCAUCCCCAGUCCAGCCCAGCCUGACCAGCAAAUGCCCUGAGUGUCCACCUCAGAGGGAAAGACACUGCUGUGUCCUCCAGCGUCCUGGGACCCUGUCCUCUGCCCAGGGACACAGUGGCCACGGCUUGCUUGAUUUCUGAUCUCUACAACUAAGCCUAACCUCCCCCGGGUUUCCGGUUUUCAGUCUGUAUGGAACAUGUCUGUGUUCUAAUUAAAGGUCCAUGGUAUGGU